ACCGCGGUAGCUCAAUUGGUAGAGCAUCGCACUCGUAAUGCGAAGACGUGGUUUCGUAUCCCACCUGUGGCC
rnacentral:tRNA from 1 species